UUGACUGAGUGGCGGACGGGUGAGUAACGCGUGGGUAACCUGCCUCAUACAGGGGGAUAACAGUUAGAAAUGACUGCUAAUACCGCAUAAGACCACGGAGCCGCAUGGCUCAGUGGGAAAAACUCCGGUGGUAUGAGAUGGACCCGCGUCUGAUUAGGUAGUUGGUGGGGUAACGGCCUACCAAACCGACGAUGGAUAGGGGUUCUGAGAGGAAGGUCCCCCACAUUGGUACUGAGACACGGACCAA
rnacentral:rRNA from 1 species